CGCCUACUGCAGCACCAAGAGGACACUGCUUUGCUCCUAGACUUCCUGAAGGUUGCCAGGCUCCAAAGGUUGAAUUCAGUAUUUGUGUCAUCAUCAAGGGUCAGAAUCACUGGAUGACUGCUUUCUGCAUCUAUUGUCAUCCCAGGAGGAGUGGUCCAUGAUGAUGCAUGCUUGGAGCUGUCCAUAGUUGAAUCCUAAGACUUACCCCCUCAAUCAGCUGAAGAUUUUGCUUUCCGUUUCUUCAAGAACCUGGAAGCAAUGAGACCAAAGCAUCCAUGG